rnacentral:rRNA from 1 species
UACGUAGGGGGCAAGCGUUGUCCGGAAUUAUUGGGCGUAAAGAGCGUGUAGGCGGCUCGGCAAGUCUGCUGUGAAAGUCCAAGGCUCAACCUUGGAAUGUCGGUGGAUACUGUCGAGCUCGAGUCCGGAAGAGGCGAGUGGAAUUCCUGGUGUAGCGGUGAAAUGCGCAGAUAUCAGGAGGAACACCAAUGGCGAAGGCAGCGCGCUGGGACGGUACUGACGCUGAGACGCGAAAGCGUGGGGAGCGAACAGG